GGAAUAUAGCUCAGUUGGUAGAGUGCUUGCCUUGCAUGCAUAAGGCCCUGGGUUCAAUCCCCAGCACCA
rnacentral:tRNA from 1 species